rnacentral:rRNA from 1 species
AUGUGCAUACUCCAUAGAAAAAAACACCAAAAAAAAGAGGGGGGGAGGAGGAGGAGGAGGAGGAAUUGGAGCAGGAGGAGGAGGAUUGGAGCGCAGGGGAGUUUGGAGGUUAUUAUGGCGCUCAAUUACCCGUCGUGCUCAUUCUUGGUGAGCGACGAGUGCUCUGCCCUGAUGCGGGGGUGUGGAUGCUGGUCGGAGGAGGCCUCGCCCCUCUCGUCCCCAGGGGUCAACUCCAGGCGCUGGGAUGAUUUCGAGCCGGACCCUGCGGAUCUAUUGCCCGCGGAUCCCUUCGGGAUGAACUUGGGGAACACCAUCACUGCAGCCAUCGCCAGUUGCCUUGACCGCACGGUCAUGUCUGGUGCAGGGCGUUUUGUUGGAAGCAGUGACGGCGGCGCGGCUGUUCGUGCCGACUUGAGUUAUUACCUGGACCUGAAUCAUGCUAUUGCGCUCUCCUGGGAGCCACCUUUCCUCCCGGGUGGCUGCAGGCGUGCUUUUGAGGGGCCUUUUGGGUUUGGAGGCCUUUAUGCUGCCGGAGGCGCCAACUGCUCUCAAGGAUUGCCUCCCCUUGCGUCCUGCUCACGGCAAAUUGUACCUGGAGAGGAUCCAUCUACUUCUGGCAGUGCUGCAUUGGUGUGCCGUGAUGGAGUUGAUGCCGUGGGAGCGUCAUGCUCAUGGCCAAUUGUACCCGGAGAGGACCCAUCUCCUUCUGGCAGUGCUGCAUUGGUGUGCCGUGAUGGAGUUGAUACCGUGGGAAGUGCACCGCAUGACGGGAUGAAGUAUGCUCUUGCCUAUCUUGGGCUUCGUGACAUCCUAGCUACAGAGAUGGUGUGCAAGUCUUUGCAUUCAUGGAUCCGCACUCAUUCCUUAGUGUGGAAGUGUAUCCAUGUUGAACCGGUAUUGAGUGGGAAGAUUACUGAUCCUGAUCUUCUACGUCUGACACAGAAGAUUCCAGGUGAUUUGCAGUGUCUAAAUAUAAAUGACUGCAUAAAUAUCACCGACAAUGGUUUGAAUGCUGUUCUCCAAAGCAAUCUGAGGUUAACAAAGUUGAGUAUUGCGCGCUGCCCGCGGUUAACUUUGGAUGGUCUUAUUGCCAAUCUAAAGUCAUUUAAUAUGAAAGCAGUGUCGGGUAUUAAGUGCCUCAGAAUUGACAAAAACUUCAAUUUACCAAAAGAGGAUUAUGAGGAGUUAUUAUCCUUGUUGAGCAUCGACAAGAGACAGGAGUUGCACAACCGGGCUCCGCGAUUCCGUCAUUCUAAUCAUUUUUUAUUAGAUUGCAAUGACGGAUAUGCUCUUGAUAUUGAGAUGUGCCCCAUCUGUCAAAGUUACAAACUUGUUUUUGACUGCCCUGAAGCGGAGUGCAGUGACAAGAGAUCUGGCAAGUGCAGAGCAUGUGAGGUUUGCAUCAAGAGAUGCCGGCAGUGUGGAAGGUGCUUAGAACGAAAUGAGAAGUUUGAAGAGAAAUUUGAUCUGGUCUACCUUUGCUACAAGUGUCGAGGCGAUCCGGCUUCACCAUCUCUCGGUGUGGAAAAGGAUCUGGUCUCCAUUUUAUCCAGUGGAAGAAUACCUUCUCCUUGA